ensembl:lncRNA
GGUUAUCGUGUGGCCAGGAAAUAGAAGACGUGAAAUAGACUUGAAGUCGUCUCUAUAGAGAUGUUAUCCAACAAAGAGGUGAAAACAUCUGAUGAGUGUGUCUGAAAGUGAAUCAGUCUGGAAAGAAUAAAAGAGCCUAGUAGGCUGGGAAGAAGUUCAGAUGCUACCAGGUGAAUAGGCAGAUCUAGGAAGAUUAUAGACACGUCUUAAAGACCUGGUUGCUGGCCUGAUAUCCUCUGAUGGAUGUAGUUUCAAGCGCAUGCUGCUUUAAAAUAAUUUAGCCUUGAUUGCCUGUGGUUGGAAGUGAGUUUUUGGGAAGCGAAAUGUAUUUUCUUUCCUCUUGGGAGCCUUGUGCAGUGCAUCAAAUAGCCUGAAUUAAAGGAAUUGCUUCGGCUUGUGUGUGUUGAUAAAAUUACUAUUUAAAGCAAACAGAGGACUUCAAUUUUUCAGAAGAGGAGGGAAUUAGAGAUAGAAAAUCGGUAAGCUGUGACACCUGCACAGAAUACUUGUUUGAAGUUUAGANNNNNNNNNNNNNNNNNNNNNNNNNNNNNNNNNNNNNNNNNNNNNNNNNNNNNNNNNNNNNNNNNNNNNNNNNNNNNNNNNNNNNNNNNNNNNNNNNNNAAAGGGAAUAAGCUAUGUAAAAACUUUUCUUUUCUUAAGAGAUAUGAGAUAGUGUUCUAUCUCACAUGAGCAGAGACAGGAGUGUGAUGGCAUAGUUAAAUAAUCUGGUAAUGUCCAUGUAGUGUAGUCCAGGAAAGAAAGAGACAUUUCACUGGGAUGUUCACUGUAAGGUGAUUCAGACAAAUGAUGUUGAAAUGUAAGACAAGAGAGACCAAAGAUGACUUCUGUCUCGAGGCUUGAAACUAGCUAGGCGGAGACAAGACUAUUAGGGCGCUCUGAUUAAGCACCAGUUAUAAAUGGGAAAGGCAGUUACCUUGCUACUCUUGAGAAGAGAGAGCUGAGCUCCCAGGACUCUUGAUGAGAAGCACUGAGGCUGAAUAUGCAGAUUUCAGACGUAGCCUCAUUUUAAUCAACCCCCAAGAGAACGCCUAUGGAAUGGAAUCUGGAAGAUAUGUUUGGGAAAAACAGAAGAAGGAAAAAAAAUCCCCAAGCUGGAAAACAGAAAGGAUCAAAAUCUCCAAGUGACUGAAAGUCAAUGAAUAUAUGUGAUAGUCAUACAUUCCCUUAACAGUUACCAUAUUCUAUGUAAGGUAGCCUAUCUCAUUUAAGAAGAUACAGUAAUUCCCAUUCUUUAUUCUAGAAUUAAAAGCAUUUAGUCCAUACAAUGUGUCUCAGCGAGGUUGACAUUCACUUGCUUGUACCUGAGAGUGUCGCACCUUAAAGUUUCAUCAAAGAUCCAUGGCAGAGCUGAACUACAAAGGUUCAGAACAAACAAUACCACAGGUAGUCACCUGUCCUCACUUCUUGCAGAGAGAGGGGGAUACUUGAGCUGUGCUAAGGCCUCUUCAGCCUGGAACAGUGUUCCUUGGAAACUUUGGCAAGUUUUCUUGCCCCCUGCCCCCCAAAUCUCCAUAAUCUAAUAUGUCUGGGACUUGCUGGGUUAAAAAAAACAAGUCCCAGUAACAAACUAACAUACAUUCUGGAGUACAGAUGCAGCUUUUUCCAAACUCCCUGGACCUUGUGAGGGAACUGGAACAACCACUGGGUUCCAGGGAACAUGGUUUGAGAAAUGCCAAUCUUAAGUAAAUUUUCUAAAGUAGUGGUUUUCAAACUGCAGUGAGUGUUGAAACACAUGGAAGGCAGGCCAAAAGCACAGAUUCAAGACCCCACUUGAGAGAUCUGGAGUCGAACCAGGUGUUGAACCAUUUCUGAGUCUCCAUGUGAAGCUGAUGGAAAGAAGUCCACACUUGGAAUGGCAUCCUUCUAGAUAAGGACCCAUGCAAACUUCAGCUGCAGGAAGCCUGCUGAUGGCCUCAGGAAAGGCUGUGUAUCCUACAAGCAAUUAAUAGGAGGUCAAAGCAGUCCACUGAUGCCUGAGCAGGUCCUGGCACAGCUCAGGUAGGGGGAGAAGCACUGGGCUCGACUCUGCCUCUGAGCCAACUCACCAGGCAACCAGGCACAGUGCUGCUGCUAAGUCACUUCAGUUGUGUCUGACUCUGUGCGACCCCAGAG